CGUGUGCACUCCCGAUUUGUAGUUUUCAAUGCAAUGCACUCUCAGUGGGAAAAGCAUUGUAGUAAUAUUUCUAAGAUACUAUGUUUAAUUGGCUACUAACUCUGAAUGUAGAGAAUGUAAUAAAAAAUGAAUUUAACAAAAAAAUGAAUUUUCAGCAGUCUUC